UGAGGAUGGUACCUCCCAAGGUUCCUUCGGUGGAGGCACCUCUAUCCUUCAUCAGAACGGGAUCUCGGGAAGUGGAGGAGAGCCCCAGACGCACGAACG